rnacentral:rRNA from 1 species
UCUACGGGUGGCAGCAGUGAGGAAUAUUGGUCAAUGGACGCAAGUCUGAACCAGCCAUGCCGCGUGCAGGAUGACGGCUCUAUGAGUUGUAAACUGCUUUUGUAUGAGGGUAAACCCCGACACGUGUAUCGGGUUGAAUGUAUCGUACGAAUAAGGAUCGUCUAACGCCGCGUCAGCAGCAGCGGUAAUACGGAGGAUCCGAGCGUUAUCCGGAUUUAUUGGGUUGAAAGGGUGCGUAGGCGGUUUGAUAAGUUAGAGGUGAAAUGUCGGGGCUCAACACCGAAACUGCCAAUAAUACUGUUGGACUAGAGAAUAGUUGCGGUAGGCGGAAUGUAUGGUGUAGCGGUGAAAUGCUUAGAGAUCAUACAGAACCCCGAUUGCGAAGGCAGCUUACCAAGCUAUAUCUGACGUUGAGGCACGAAAGCGUGGGUAGCAAACAGGAUUAGAUACCCGAGUAGUC